UACGGGGGGUGCGAGCGUUGUCCGGAAUCACUGGGCGUAAAGGGCGCGUAGGUGGCCUGAUAAGGGUGUGGUGAAAGUCCGGGGCUCAACCCCGGAUCUGCCGUGCCGACUGUUAGGCUAGAGUACUGUAGGGGCAGGCGGAAUUCCGGGUGUAGCGGUGGAAUGCGUAGAGAUCCGGAGGAAGACCGGUGGCGAAGGCGGCCUGCUGGGCAGUUACUGACACUGAGGCGCGACAGCGUGGGGAG
rnacentral:rRNA from 1 species